rnacentral:lncRNA from 1 species
CCCAGGGAGCUGGGGCCAGCUCGCUGCUCCAUUUCAUGUAGGAAAAGUUCAAUGGAAACACACUGAUUUUUUUCCAAAAUGAUAUGUUUUUUCAAAUUUCCUUUCUGCAGGACAUUGCAAGAUGUCUAGCUUUUGUUCCGACUGAGGACGAAAACCUUUUUGAAAUUUUGGAAUUUCUGAGUUUUGACCAGCUCUAGUUAUCGGUACCCUUGUUGGUUUAUCGUCCAGUGAUCGUGUUGUGAGAAACCUUCAUUUGACUCAUGUGUGCCUGCCCAUGCCACUUCUAAUGUCAUCAAGAAGUCCUCCCACCUUGUUGAACCACAACCUUCCAUCAGAGGGGCUUUGACCACAGUUAAGCACUUUUCACAAAUCUGCCUCCUGUUGUUGCUUCGAGCUCCUCCAUGUCAGGCCCUUGAGAGAGUCUCAACAAAGGUGCAGCAAUCUUGUAAAGACCACAAAUUCACAUGGCUGGGAGCAUGGGUCCUGCUGUGUGGGACAGGCCCUCAACCUGCUGAACCCACAGCAGUUCCUCUCAGCACCGGGAAUCGAGACAAAUGCACUACUCACCAGCAGGGAGUGGUGCUCCAGCCCUGGAGCAGCCAUGGAGUCAGCACCUUUGAGUGGCUGGUUUCUCUGUGUCUCAGAGGUGGCAGCCCUUGAAGUUGACAGAAAAGACUUCACCUUGCAGGAUAAGGGGUAACCUGAAAUAUGUCAUAAAUGCCAGUAGCAAAGAUGAAAUGCUUGGCAUUACCUCAAGAUCUUGCAGAGAGAAAUAUGUUUUCAACAGUGACAGGUGUAAAACAAUCAGCUUGAGAGGUUCCUGUGAUGUCUUCUUCAAAACAAAUUCCUCUGAAAGAUUUCCAUGAAGCCUCCCCACAAACAACAGUAAACAACACCUCUCACAGAACUUCAGGUAGCUGCUAAAGUACAAGUGUGGAAUUACUGAAUGGGAAAAGCGAGAAAUGGGAAAAAUUUGUUAUGUGGCUAAGUACUUGCAUAUCAAACAAUUAAACUCCAAUUAUAUUUGUUUUGCUUUUACUAAUGUACUCUAUCAAAUAGCGAGAAAGUACUAGUAUGAAAAAUGUUGAAAAAUAAGUGAUUAGAAGGAAACCUGCUUCCUGCCCUCCCACUCCCUUUUCCCCUCCCCCGCCCCAAAAAAGCCACAGUGGUCUCCUGAAAUGUCUAGCUUUUCUUAUUUUUCCUUUCAGUGGCAUAACAAGAGGAGAUAGCAGCCC